GUACUUGUACUGAUUGAGAUUUUAACACGAAGUGAGUGGCGAACGGGUGAGUAACACGUGGGUAACCUGCCCAGAAGUAGGGGAUAACACCUGGAAACAGAUGCUAAUACCGUAUAACAGAGAAAACCGCAUGGUUUUCUUUUAAAAGAUGGCUCUGCUAUCACUUCUGGAUGGACCCGCGGCGUAUUAGCUAGUUGGUGAGGUAAAGGCUCACCAAGGCAGUGAUACGUAGCCGACCUGAGAGGGUAAUCGGCCACAUUGGGACUGAGACACGGCCCAGACUCCUACGGGAGGCAGCAGUAGGGAAUCUUCCACAAUGGACGCAAGUCUGAUGGAGCAACGCCGCGUGAGUGAAGAAGGGUUUCGGCUCGUAAAGCUCUGUUGUUAAAGAAGAACGUGGGUAAGAGUAACUGUUUACCCAGUGACGGUAUUUAACCAGAAAGCCACGGCUAACUACGUGCCAGCAGCCGCGGUAAUACGUAGGUGGCAAGCGUUAUCCGGAUUUAUUGGGCGUAAAGCGAGCGCAGGC
rnacentral:rRNA from 1 species